rnacentral:rRNA from 1 species
GAUGAACGCUGGCGGCGUGCCUAACACAUGCAAGUCGAGCGAUUCUCUUCGGAGAAGAGCGGCGGACGGGUGAGUAACGCGUGGGUAACCUACCCUGUACACACGGAUAACAUACCGAAAGGUAUGCUAAUACGGGAUGAUAUAUAGAAAUCGCAUGAUUUUUAUAUCAAAGAUUUAUCGGUACAGGAUGGACCCGCGUCUGAUUAGCUUGUUGGCGGGGUAACGGCCCACCAAGGCGACGAUCAGUAGCCGACCUGAGAGGGUGAUCGGCCACAUUGGAACUGAGACACGGUCCAAACUCCUACGGGAGGCAGCAGUGGGGAAUAUUGCACAAUGGGCGCAAGCCUGAUGCAGCAACGCCGSGUGAGSGAUGAAGGCCUUCGGGUSGUAAAGSYUYKGUCYUUCWARAGGRRAAARGG